rnacentral:siRNA from 1 species
AGCGCCCACCUAGUCCUAUCUAG